GCAGUGCCAAUGGAGCAUCCUGGUCCUUUUCCAGCUCAGGCUGCUCCAAGUGACAGGCUGGGACUCAUGUCAUAUCCCCCAAGCACAGGCAAGGUCAUACCAAGUGUCCAUCUAGCCCAUUGACCCCUGCUAGCAAUGUCCAUGCAAGGAGCUAUUGUGGAAAGUAAGAAAAGGGUAAAUACACCAAGUCUCUGCAACCUCUCAGCUUCUAGGACAAGAAGCUGUUAGAGAGCACGAGCACCCCUCAGCCUCCUCUUCUCCAAACCAGACAAACGCAGAGCCCACAGCCACUGCUCACAGGACAUGGCUUCCAGCCCUCUCACUGGCUUUGUUGCCGACCUUGGGAUGCAUUCAGGGACCUUCACAUCUUUCUUCAGUGAUGAACUAUUGCUGUCAGAGCACCUGCUUGAAGACCCAGGACUGCAGGAGUACAUUUCUAAAGGGAUGGGGGGAUAAUGGUUUCCAGCAUGGACUAGUUUGAAGAAAGGUUUCCUCAUGCAAGAAGUUGUCACUUGUAUUGGACUGUUGAAGUAACACAACAAUUGAGAGUAACUGCACAAUGAACAUGGAAAUGUGACCAUAUCUCUAAAUAGUUAUACAGCAAUAUUAUCUAUUUUUGUACUAGAAAUU